rnacentral:rRNA from 1 species
AUUGAACGCUGGCGGCAGGCUUAACACAUGCAAGUCGAGCGCGCGGCGGACGGGUGAGUAAUGUCUGGGAAACUGCCUUAUGGCGGGGGAUACCUACUGGAACCGGUAGCUAAUCCCGCAUACCAUCAGAUUUUCCCAGAUGGGAUUAGCUAGUAGGUGGGGUAAUGGCUCACCUAGGCGACGAUCCGUAGCUGGUCUGAGAGGAUGACCGGCCACACUGGAACUGAGACACGGUCCAGACUCCUACGGGAGGCAGCAGUGGGGAAUAUUGCACAAUGGGCGCAAGCCUGAGACAGCAAUGCCGCGUGAGUGAAGAAGGUCUUCGGGUUGUAAAGCACUUUCAGCGAGGAGGCGUUACUCGCAGAGGAAGCACCGGCUAACUCCGUGCCAGCAGCCGCGGUAAUAC